UAUUAUAAAUUUAUCAAUUUAAUGGUAUUUUAUAAGUUGAAUUACGACAUUUAAUGAUCUUUAUUUAUAACAAAGGUAAAACUGCAAAAAUGAUAAAAUAAAAAAGACAAUACAAAAAUAAUUGGGUCUUACUUACCUCAGUCCAAGCCUAUUAAAAAAUAAUAAUUUACAAUUCAUAAAGAAAAUAAAGGGCGCAAGAAACGGGAGUCCAAGCCUAUUAGAGCCAAACUAUUUUCUCUCUUUUUUUCUUACUGUUUUUUAUCCAUUUUUGGCCAAACAAGGGAACACAUUUUUGCAGUCUAGCAACUUGUCUACCAACCUUACAUGUUCUUCAUCUUUCAAGAAACUUAACCUAAUUUUUUAGCAUAAAUAGGGGUAACAAAAAGAAAGAUAGAAAAGAAGAGAGGGAACCUUUCUAGAAACAUAAAGAAACAGAGAAAAAAUGUAGGGAUGUUGAACAUCAACCUAUUCAAGGAGGAAAUAGAUAAGGUAAAUAGAUGAAGAAUGAGGUGAGGAAUGAUUCCCUUUUGCAAAGGAUCCUAACAAUGUCCUCUUUCUUCUUCUUUCUUGAAAAAUAAAACUGAGCAUAUUUUGUUCAAGUUUCAAUCUUUGAGGUUUGUCCUUCUUUCCUUUUCUUCUUUAUAACUGUUUAUUCAUGUUCUUAUCAGUUUCAACUUUAUGAUGUUUUUGUGUUGGUGUUCAGUUUUGUAGUUUUCUGUUUUGAAUAAGAAAGGAAAAUGGCAGAUAAAGGAAACGUAAUAGAGAGAAAUAGAGUAUUGCUGCUAAAAACAAUAUUUUAUUUGAUAAUGAAACUUACAUUUAAAUGCACUUGAAAAGAUAAUGAUCCAUGGUUAUAGGCGAACCACUAGCAACAACAAUGAAAUAAAUAGGAAACCAACUUAUAUCUAUCUAGCAUAUAUGGCACGUUCUCAACAAGUUUCAGCUUUCAAGUUCAGUUUAGUUCAGUUUUGUGUUGGUGUUCUUUCUAAGACUGUUUCACUUUCUUUGUAGACUAACAGAAUUUUGAUAAUUGUAUUGGUGUUAAAUUUGACAACUUGGUGUUGCAUGUUAACUAUGAGUAUCAAAUUCAAAAACAGAUAUUGUGUUGGUGGGGUGAUAACUAUGUGAGAAAGAAUAGAAAGGAAAAUAAGGAGGGAUUUAGAGUGGUUGCUUUGCUAUUUGCUGCUAUUUGUUAUUUAAUGCCUAAAUUAAGGAAGGAAAAUAAAGUCUGUGUAGAUUGGUAUUUGCUUAACCUUUAAGUUGUGUUGAAUUGAACCUUCAUUUGUAACUGAAUUGAACAUGCUAAUUUAUGCUGUUUUUUGUUUGUUAAUACCUUAUAACUUAUCAGAUUAUUUUUGCAUUGUAACUUGUGAGUAAUACUUGCUGCCUAUUGCAUUGUUCCAUUGUUCUUUCCUUUCUUACAUUGAUUCGAUAAAAGUUUAUAAGUAUGACACUUAAUUAUGAUGAUUUCGUUUUUUUUACUUCAUACUUGAGUUGAAAUUUAUAUAUUUAUGUUAACAUACAAGUAUAUAUGUCAUGUGUAUAUUAUUUCUAAUUAUAUUUUAAUGUGGUAAUCUCUACUCGUACGAGUUUAAGAGUCUGAGUUCACCUACUGAAAAUAGUUUACUUAAAUUCUCAAGUUUAACAACUUUGAAAGCAGUGACUAAUGAGUUCCAAGAAAGGGAUGAAGCGUUGUGGCAACUAAAAUACAAUUUAGUAAAAACCCAAGAACAAAUUAAGAGGUAUGCAUGAAGAACUGAAAAACACAAGAUUUUGAAGUUGAAGAGUGAGCAUUCUCACUAUUCUGAGGAGCUGCAAACACAUAAGUAGCCGUAUGUAGUUCUCUGGAUUAAACAAAAAUUUGCCCCAAGAUAUUAUUGGCCCUUUCAAGUGUUAGAAAAGCAUGUGAUUGUUGAUGUAGCUGCAGCAGCUACUCUUGGAGUUGCUUCCCCUGCUGCAGGGAAGAAAGAAGAAAAAGUUAAGGAAUAGGAAGAAGAUGAUAUGGAAUUCUAACAUCUUUUGUUUUUUUGGUUGAUUGCAUUUGCUUGCACCAUUGUUAAUAGAACUAUUAGUCCAAGAUACUAAGUCAUAUAUGACCCAAUAAUCAUAAGUAUUUUAUUGAGAUAAAUGAUUUGAUUGCAAAUUAAUAAUAUUGCAACAACCACCAAAACCGUCAUUCAUAUAACAAUGCACAAAUUUAUAACAACAUUGAUUUUUUCUA